rnacentral:rRNA from 1 species
UGCGCAGGCGGAAUGAUAAGUCAGUGGUGAAACCCUACAGCUUAACUGUAGAACUGCCAUUGAUACUGUUAUUCUUGAGUAUAGUUGAAGUGGGCGGAAUGUAUCAUGUAGCGGUGAAAUGCAUAGAUAUGAUACAGAACACCGAUAGCGAAGGCAGCUCACUAAACUAUAACUGACGCUCAGGCACGAAAGCGUGGGGAGCGAACAGGAUUAGAUACCCUGGUAGUC